GAUGUCUGUGUAGAUAGGGAGCUGUGAUGAGAACAAGAGGCCAGAACACAUCCAGGCUCCUUAAGAGAAAGCCUUUCUUUAACCGUGUUUGAAACGCUUCAAAGGCAGAGACUUGUCCAGCCUGACCUCCCCACUGCUCCUAGCUCCUGAGGCUCAGCGCCCUUGGCUUCUGUCCUCCCUGCUCAGGGCCCUCCAGCGUGGCCUCUGCUCAGCCAUGCUCCUGCUGCUCGUCCCAGCGUUCCAGGUGAUUUUUACCCUGGGAGGAACUAGAGCCCAGUCGGUGACCCAGCUUGACAGCCACGUCUCUGUCUCUGAAGGAACCCUGGUGCUGCUGAGGUGUAACUACUCAUCGUCUGUUUCACCAAAUCUCUUCUGGUACGUGCAAUACCCCAACCAAGGACUCCAGCUUCUCCUGAAGUACAUAUCAGGGACCACCCUGGUUAAAGGCAUCAACGGUUUUGAGGCUGAAUUUAAGAAGAGUGAGACCUCCUUCCACCUGACAAAACCCUCAGCCCAUGUGAGCGACGCGGCUGAGUACUUCUGUGCUGUGAGUGACACAGUGCUUGAGACUGCAGGAGAGCUGAACACAAACCUGAGAUGCUGAGACUUUCU